AGUGAACGCUGGCGGUAGGCCUAACACAUGCAAGUCGAACGGCAGCACAGAGGAGCUUGCUCCUUGGGUGGCGAGUGGCGGACGGGUGAGGAAUACAUCGGAAUCUACUCUGUCGUGGGGGAUAACGUAGGGAAACUUACGCUAAUACCGCAUACGACCUACAGGUGAAAGCAGGGGAUCUUCGGACCUUGCGCGAUUGAAUGAGCCGAUGUCGGAUUAGCUAGUUGGCGGGGUAAAGGCCCACCAAGGCGACGAUCCGUAGCUGGUCUGAGAGGAUGAUCAGCCACACUGGAACUGAGACACGGUCCAGACUCCUACGGGAGGCAGCAGUGGGGAAUAUUGGACAAUGGGCGCAAGCCUGAUCCAGCCAUACCGCGUGGGUGAAGAAGGCCUUCGGGUUGUAAAGCCCUUUUGUUGGGAAAGAAAUCCAUCUGGUUAAUACCCGGUUGGGAUGACGGUACCCAAAGAAUAAGCACCGGCUAACUUCGUGCCAGCCGCCGCGGUAA
rnacentral:rRNA from 1 species